UACGUAGGGCGCAAGCGUUGUCCGGAAUUACUGGGCGUAAAGCGCACGUAGGCGGCUUGGUAAGUCGGAUGUGAAAGCCCUGGGCUUAACCCAGGAAGUGCAUCCGAUACUGUCAAGCUUGAGUCCUGGAGAGGGGUGUGGAAUUCCCGGUGUAGAGGUGAAAUUCGUAGAUAUCGGGAGGAACACCAGUGGCGAAGGCGACACCCUGGACGGAGACUGACGCUGAGACA
rnacentral:rRNA from 1 species